GAUGAAGAACGUAGCGAAAUGCGAUAAGUAAUGUGAAUUGCAGAAUUCAGUGAAUCAUCGAAUCUUUGAACGCACAUUGCGCCCGCCAGUAUUCUGGCGGGCAUGCCUGUUCGAGCGUCAUUUCAACCAUCAAGCCCCAGGCUUGUGUUGGGGACCUGCGGCUGCCGCAGGCCCUGAAAACCAGUGGCAGGCUCGCUGUCACACCGGGCGUAGUAGAUUUUAUCUCGCUCAGGGCGUGCUGCGGGUUCCGGCCGUUAAAAAGCCUUUUUUACCCAAGGUUGACCUCGGAUCAGGUAGGAAUACCCGCUGAACUUAAGCAUAUCAAUAAGCGGAGGA
rnacentral:misc_RNA from 1 species